rnacentral:rRNA from 1 species
CGGUGGUACAGGAUGGGCCCGCGUCUGAUUAGGUAGUUGGUGGGGCAGCGGCCUACCAAGCCGACGAUCAGUAGCCGACCUGAGAGGGUGACCGGCCACAUUGGGACUGAGACACGGCCCAAACUCCUACGGGAGGCAGCAGUGGGGAAUAUUGCACAAUGGGGGAAACCCUGAUGCAGCGACGCCGCGUGAAGGAAGAAGUAUUUCGGUAUGUAAACUUCUAUCAGCAGGGAAGAAACUGACGGUACCUGACUAAGAAGCACCGGCUAAAUAC